AAUGAACGUUGGCGGCGUGGAUUAGGCAUGCAAGUCGAGCGGGUCGAUGUAGCAAUACAACGGCCAGCGGCGAAAGGGAGAGUAAUACGCGGAUCAUCUGCCCUCGGGACCGGGAUACCGCGGCACAACCGCAAGUAAUACCGGAUAACGUCUUCGGACCAAAGGUGUGAUUCCACCUGAGGAUGAGUCCGCGUCCUAUCAGCUUGUUGGUGGGGUAACGGCCUACCAAGGCUUUGACGGGUACGGGGUGUGAGAGCAUGCCCCCGCUCACUGGGACUGAGACACUGCCCAGACACCUACGGGUGGCUGCAGUCGAGGAUCUUCGGCAAUGGGCGAAAGCCUGACCGAGCGACGCCGCGUGCGGGAUGAAGGCCUUCGGGUUGUGAACCGCUUUCGUAGGGGAGGAAGGCCCGGUGAAGAGCUGGGUUUGACCUAUCCUAGGAAGAAGUGUGGGCUAAGUCCGUGCCAGCAGCCGCGGUAACAC
rnacentral:rRNA from 1 species